UACUAUAAAGUUGGCUUGAUUGAAAUCAAUACCAGUUUUUGUAUGAAUAUUUUUAAAUAUAGAACUAAUAGUUUUUGAUUAAAAAAAUAAUUAAAUUGGGUCUGGUCAGCAGCAGUUUUUUUUAUUGGUGUUUUUAUUGCAGGACAUAGAUGCAAAGUACCUUUUGAAAUGUGAAUGACUAAUUCUUCAAGAGCGAUUCGCAUGAUGCUAAGGAUUUUCAUUCAAACACUUUUUUCCGUUACUAUGUCACAAAGAAGGUGGAUGGUAGUUUGAGGAUUGCGAAGAGCAGCAUCCAGCAAUCUGGAGGUGUCAGAGCUUGUUCCCCAGCAUCCUACUGGAGAAUGGGAUGAAGGAUGUCCAGAGUGAUUGGAGUCAUUGGUGAUGUCUGGAGCUCAGGCUUUAGGUCACUGGGAGGUGAAAAAUUGUCCCACCUUUAAGGCCCUGGCUGUGUGCAAACAGGAAGUUAGCAUUAACCAUGACACCCUGAUGCCUGUGCCGCACAUAGAUAUGAAUGCACAAAGUCUGACAGGAUGGGAGAGCCACAAAAACCUGUCUCACUGUUACAAGGAAGUACAGAGAGUAUAUAAUCAUAUACCAAUUAUUGAGAGUCACUAUAUGAUCUCAUAAUCUUGUUGAAUUCUGAAUAUUCUACCCGGUAUAUUUAAUUAUUAUUCAGUCUGCUGGAUCAUGUUCUGAAUGUUUGUUGUUUAGGUGUAUAACAUUGAGAAGAUCCUGAUGCAUCGCACCUAGACUGAGACUCAGUUCUUCUGCUGGGCUUCGGGUGCUGCUCUGGCUAGUUUCCAUCACUAUGAAGAUCAGACUUUUGUCAAAAAGCUCCAAAGCUGCAUUUAUUUGGUCAAAACACAGUAAUACUGUAAAAUAUUAAAACAUUUUCAAAUAACUGUUUUCCAUUUCAAUAUAUUUUAUACAAUAAAUCAUGAUAAAUUGUUUCAUGAUAUGAAAUUUCUCAUCCCACACCGAUUAUUCAGAAUGAUAUCUGCCGAUACCGAUAAUCUCUCCCAACUAAUGCUGCAAACUACACAGGGUACAUUAAAGGUUAAAAUGAACAAUAACACUAUUAUAUUCUAUGCAUUUUUUUUUCAGUUAUAAUAAUCACCCUCAAGUCAAAAUGCUUGUAUACAACUCAACUGCACGUAAGGUAGUUUGCCCUCAUGACAGAUUUAUUCAAACAUACAUAUAUAAUCAACAGUAAAUAGGCUCCAUCUAGUGUUUUUUAUUGCUUACUAAUGAACUGUGACGACUGGAUAUCUUUCCUGAGGAAAAUGCAAUUGUGAAAUAUUGUUGUGACAUAUUGCUGUUUUAUUUGAUGUCUUUCUUUUGGUAAAAAAAAGAGAAAACAACUUUCGUUAUGUCGAGAUAACAAGAAAAUUAAGUCGUUAUAAUGUGAAAAAAACUUUCUUUAUGUCGAGAUAACAAGAAAAUUAAGUCGUUAUAACGAGAAAAACGCAAUUCGACGUAGUUGAAAAAAGCAGCUUUGGAGUGCUUGCUAAUGUGGUCUUCCAAGGUCAGUGAUGGGUGUAGAAUGAUACCUACGUUUCUAUGGAAAAAUUGAAAUAGCAUCAAGGUCAAAGCUAGAAACAUCAGUUUUAUUUUUUAUUAGAGAUGGGGGACCAAUUAUUUAAAUUUCACUUUUACUCAAGUUUAGACUCACUGACAGAUGAAGAUAAGGAUGCUUUCGACUGGAUAAAAUCUGGUUGACAAGCAGUAUAUAUCUAGAUGUCAUCAGAAUAACAGUGGUAGAUAAAACCGACUAAUUAAUGAUUAAUAAUGGUCCGAGAACUGAACCCUGGGGAACUCCCUGUUUGAGUAAGACAGUGAGAGAUUUGGACUUGUGCAGUGAGAUGAAGUAUUGACUAUCUAUGAGAUAUGAGAAGAACCAGGAUAAUGCAGAACCUGAGAUGCCAACCUCUUCAAGGUGAGAGAGUAAUAUCUUAUGACAAACUGUAUCAAUAGCUGAGCUGAGGUCAAGUAAUAAAAGAACUGAUAAAGUAUACCUGAAUCACCACAAAAUAAUAGAUCAUUGACAACCUUUACUCAAGCAGUUUCCUUACUGUGCCAUAUGCGAAAGUAGAAAUAGUAGUUAUUAAUUAAUUUCUUUUUCUCUGGCCUUCCUUUUCUUUCUUGUAUAUUUUCAGUACAGAGGGUUCGUUGGUUUUGGGUGGGCUUUACUAAGAGAAACCCUUGGUCUCAUGGAGCCUGGGAGUGAUCCGAUGGCACACUGGUAAAAAUUCAUCGUAAAAGAGAAACAAACAAAAAGUGCAAUUUGAGCUGGUACCAGUCCCAGAAAACAUGUUUGGAGAAGGGUGCUGCACUUGUAACCAUCACAGACACGUUUCAGCAGGCCUAUCUCACUGUGCUGAUCAACAGGCUUGAAGUCCCACACUGGAUCAAUCUGUACAGCACAGAUCUUCAUAGGAUGGUAUCUCACCAGUGGUCUGAUGGCAGUGAGGUUUCCUUCACUUACUGGGAAAGGGGCCCAUGGGAAAUGGAGGCUGCGUGUACAUGCAUGUUAGUGGACGGUGGAAAGAUGUUGAAUGUGACAUGUUGUUAACAGGAGCGUUAUGCUACAUACCUCCUCCAAAAAGCAUUGCUUUCUCCAAUGAAGUGGUAUGUCCUGAGACCUGGGUGAAGUUUCGUGGGAGCUGCUAUUAUUUUUAAACUGUUAUAUUAAUGAUGACACUGGAGGAAGCAAGAAAUCACUGUAAAAAGAACGGUACAGCACUUUAAAUAUUUUUGCAUCAAGAGCUCCAUCUAGUGGUGGCUUUGAUCAUCUUCGGUUAUAUUUUUAUAACUUGGCAAGAUUAUUUCCUCUCCCAGAUGUCACCUCAUCACUGGGGCCCUCAGAAUCUGUGGCUAGGGAUUUUAUACACCUGAAAUGAAGACGGAGACAGUUUUUGUUUUAUCCAGCUGUAUUUACUCAGUAAAACUUAUAACAUCCAAGAGAAAGAUAAAACUCCAACAUGUCCGAAAAAAAAUCUAAUAAAAAACAUAAUCACUGAGUUGGAAAAAUGAUCACCCCCUCCUUAAAAUGUCUUGUAAACUCAGUCAGGUGCAGAUAAUCACCUUCUCAAUGACCCACAAUGACAUUUGAUCAGCUGUUGUCAUUUUGAUAUGUUCAGCAUUAAAAGAGCUUUCCCUGGAGCAUUUCAGUCCUUGGUAGUCGCUCUCUUGGAUGUCGCUCCAAACUGGAUGAAAGAGCCAGCAGGAAACUGCUCAGACAGCCGAUAAAGAGACCAACAGCGACUCUGAAGCAGCUGCAGGAAUUUAUGACAAAGAGUGGUCAUUGUGUGCAUGUGACAACAAUAUCACACAUUCUCCACAAAUGUGGUUGCAAAAAAAAGCCACCCCUCAAGAAAGGCCACAUGCAGUCAGACUGAGCUUUGCCAAAAUGCACCUCGAAGAUUCUGAUGCGAUGAGACUAAAAUGUAAUUAUUUGGCCAUGACACGAAACAAUGUCUGGUGGAGAUCCAAUACAGCUCACCGUCCACAUAACAGAUUCCUCCAGUAAAGAAUGGAGGUGGUAAUAUCCUGUUAUUGUGGUGUUUAUCUGCAGCAGGGGCUGGAGCAUUUGUCAGGAUAGAAGGAAAAACAGAAGAGGCAAAAACUAUACCGUCAAAUUCUUUAGGAAAAUCUGCUGCCCUCUGCCAGAAAGUUGUCAAUGGGAAGAAGGUUUACCUUCCAAUAUGACCAUGACCCAAAACACACAGCAAAACUGACCACACAGUGGUUGAAGUGAAAAGGUGAAUGUCCUUGCAUGACCUCGUCAGAGCCCAGACUGAUGCUUUGACUCGACUGGAUGGCUCACCGCUCCGUUACACUAACUUUGGUUAGUGUAACAGAGAGCUACAAAAAGCUCCAAAGCUCCAGAUGCCAGUGACAUGAGGGCUGAUUCAUGUGUGACUUGUGCGGGUUUCAGAUGCUGUGUGGCAGUUAGCUGACUGCAACUGAGAAACUGAGGCUUUAUCUGCAAAAGCUCAACAGGUACAAGGCAUGAUCUUCAACCUCAUGACCACAAACCACCAACGGAGGCUCAUUACAGACCUUUACUGCAGGAACAAUACCAGAAAAUGAUUGUUGGCCUUGGAGUGGCCACAUUUCUUUGUUGCAAUAAAUGUUUAGUAUCAUUUGUGCAGUGACUCAAACAAAUUGCAAAACUAAGUAUCUGUUAGAGGAAUAGUUUACACAGAUGUAAAGGUCAUCAUUUACUUACUCUUGUGACUUAUGACUUACUUUCUUCUGUGGUUUUAAGGGCAACAUUUGAUCGGUUAAUACUUCCGCCGUGUAGUUGCUCAGAUUUUCAUUCAGAUGUUUUGCUUCGUAUUACAGGUGCCAUCAAAAAGGUCGAAGUGGAGUCAUUGAAAGGUUACAAUAUAAUUUUUUUUUUUUUUCAAGCAUCAAAACAAAAUGUGGUGAAUCAUACUUUAGAGGAAGUGUCAACUUUUUAUGCUUUUCCCUUUCUGCUCUUUCACAAUGCUAACUUCUGUCAGUUCCUCAAAACUGUGUGUACUCAUUUGACUUUUUAAGUUGUCUACAGUGACUACGGAGGGUAGCCAGGUGUUGUUUGAAAACCGAAAAGAAAUCAUGUUACGAAAUAUUUGAGAAGGACUGUACUUAAAAGCUUUCAUCAUGUACUGAAACUCAACUGUGUAAUUUUCUCUCCAGGUCCACACCUAGGUGUGAUCUUGAUCUUGAUCUUGAUCUGGUCAUGAAUGGAUCAUUCUAGCUCCUUUACAAGAGAAACUCUCUGUGCAUCCUAAGGCUUCCAGCGUUUGGCAGCGCCUGUUACAGACGGACAAGUUCCCAAGGAAACGACCAAGAUUUCGAGUUGUCUGUCCGUACAAAUAAAGACAGACCUUUUAAACACAUAAUGAAAGGGAUAUCCUUUAUGAAGUGAAAAAUGUUUUUUUUUUCACUUCCGUCUCAUAUUCAGGACAACAACAGAAUUCCUCUUGAGUGUAAAAGUUCAAAUGCGCCAAAUGGCUUGUUUGAUAAAAGCAUGGUUUAAUAUUGUCAAGGUCUUAAGGCCUGUUCACAUUAACACAAAUUCUUACCAUGAAAAUGCAUUUGAAUUUCACUGCAAUUUCAUUCUUUGGCAGUAUGUUGCUCUUAUAGGAAAGCAUAAAUACUGGAAGGUGCUAAACAACUUUGUGCUUCUCACACCCACUUCUCAUGAAGAAGAAAAGAGGCUAGUUCCAGAUUGUUCCUCCUGUUGUUUAUUGCCGUUAUCAAAAUAUGCCACCAAGUCAUAAUUUUAUGCAACAGCAGCGUGUUUGGGCACAUAACCAAAAGUGUAAAAGUGUGACUCUUAUUGGUUGCCUAGUUUCCCUUCAGUGCUGUGGCAAAGAGAUCAGAUCUCCUCCCUGUAAAAAGUUGCUUCAGUUGUUUAUCGCAUACAUGUUUGCAGCAAACAUUUCGUCUUUUUUUGUGAACAGGCCUUUUAAAGUCAACGUGAAAUCAAAAUGGACCCGAAUUACUUUCUUAAAGGUGCACUCAGUAUUUUUAUCCUCAUGAAAAGUUGUUUACAUAAAGAAAUAAUAGUAUUUUGAGAAGAAACAAAAACAUAUGCGUUCCUAAUGUUAUUGGGCACAAUUGAUCACGUAAAAAAAUAUAUAUAUUUAAAAAAAAAUGUAAUAACUUGCUCCACCUCUUAAACAAUUUUUCUUUCUGAUGACAUCACCAAGGCCGCUUACAUUUUAACCAGUGGUUGUCUGGCAGUGUGUCAAGAGAGGAAGAGCCAUUCACAGCUUUGUAUAAAGCAGACAUAUCACAUUAUAAAAUUAGAAGGGCUUGUGGGUAUCAUUUCAUGUUGACUUUUAAGUGUUACUCUUCAACUUUUGCAGCUAUUCAACAAUGCAAUAUUCGGAUCUAUACGAUCCAUCUUUCCAGGGGGAAUUGUUUUUAAAGCAGAACAACUUGGCCAUUAAUAAAUGUUUCCUUUUCACUGUUGGGGGUGUUAUCGGUGUUACAACCUUAUUUUAGAAUCGUUGUCGCUCAAUUGAAAUAUGAAACUGGUUUGAUCUGAAGUGUGUAGGCUAGGAUUUCAUGCAUUAUACGCGUACCUUACUUUUGCACAGCUUCCAGAUCACCAGAGAUGUGUUGUUGUUGUAAUUAAGGCCACAGAUGCAAUAAAGUCUUAUUCUGUGGUUUUAAAAAUGUAAAUGUAAAAAUAUAAAUGUCUAAAUGUAAAAACUUCCUGUGCAUUUCAGCUGUGUUUGCUUCUCUGUUUUUCUUCUCUGACUUUUUGCAUUGUCCAAUGGAAAUUAUUACUGCUUCAUUUAAGAAUUUAUCCUUUUGCAAAAAUUUUAAAUAAAGAACAUUGUUUUUAAUCAUCUAGUGUUUCUCAAAAAUGUUUGCAAAUAAGAACACACACAAAGACUGCAUAUUUAAGUUUAAGAAAUCCCCUCUCUACUUCCUAAUAAGCCAUGCAUACUAAACCGCCUUGGAAAAUUUGUUUUAUUUUUAGUGUUUUUGUAUUUUAUUUUUUAUUUUUGUGGUAAUGAGUGUGAUUGUGGUAUAUGGCAAGACAAAUAAGACUUCAUUGCUUUGACAGGACAGACUUUCCAUUCUGAACUUUUAUACUACUGUAAAACUGUGGAUUUGUGUGUUUUGACAUAUGUGUGAUUGUGUUUAAAGGGUCUGCAUAGUUUCACUGUGUGUCACAGUUUACAUUUUGUUCUUUUUAGUAUUGUUUUUCGGUAUAAGGUAAAAUUGUACGUGUCUCUUUUGAGAGUUUCUUUUUUUUUCUCUUGUUUUAAAGAACACUUUAAGAUUUAAUGCUCAAUUUAAUGUGACCAAAUGUAUUUUCAAUAUGUUUCA